rnacentral:rRNA from 1 species
UCAGAUUGAACGCUGGCGGCAGGCCUAACACAUGCAAGUCGAGCGGCAGCACGGGAAGCUUGCUUCCUGGUGGCGAGCGGCGGACGGGUGAGUAAUGCAUAGAAAUCUGCCCGGUAGUGGGGGGUAACCUGGGGAAACCCAGGCUAAUACCGCAUACGUCCUACGGGAGAAAGCAGGGGAUCUUCGGACCUUGCGCUAUCGGAUGAGUCUAUGUCGGAUUAGCUUGUUGGUGAGGUAAAGGCUCACCAAGGCGACGAUCCGUAGCUGGUCUGAGAGGAUGAUCAGCCACAUCGGGACUGAGACACGGCCCGAACUCCUACGGGAGGCAGCAGUGGGGAAUAUUGGACAAUGGGCGCAAGCCUGAUCCAGCCAUGCCGCGUGUGUGAAGAAGGCCUUCGGGUUGUAAAGCACUUUCAGUGGGGAAGAAAGCCUUGGGGCCAAUACCCUCGAGGAAGGACAUCACCCACAGAAGAAGCACCGGCUAACUCCGUGCCAGCAGCCGCGGUAAUACGGAGGGUGCGAGCGUUAAUCGGAAUUACUGGGCGUAAAGCGCGCGUAGGCGGUCUGAUAAGCCGGUUGUGAAAGCCCCGGGCUCAACCUGGGAACGGCAUCCGGAACUGUCAGGCUAGAGUGCAGGAGAGGAAGGUAGAAUUCCCGGUGUAGCGGUGAAAUGCGUAGA